AAGCUGCUUUUUGCUCCUCCUCCCAGGCUGGGCUGGGCGAGUAUCUCUUCGAAAGGCUCACCCUCAAGCACAACGAGGAGC
rnacentral:pre_miRNA from 1 species